GUCAGAUAGAAACCCUUUGUGGCUGUUUUCUAUAAAUAAAGUUGGGCUCCAGUUUGGGCAGAGCAGCUCUCACAAAUAUAUUCUGACCGAUGACAUUCACCCCUGGGCAGAUGUGAGCAUGUGCCACUUAAUGCCCACUUAUGUCUCAUUUGGAACAGGGGUAAAAGGCUCUUUUGGCUGGACAAAAAUAUACAGAUUUUUAUAAAUAGGCAACUAUACAUGCAAAGUAUAUCUGCAACUGCACAGCUAAUUUACAUUUGAAUUACCAUGUCUGGGCAUGCAAAUCAGGUAAUUACUUGCUCACAUAUAACCGGCCAUUUGCAUGCACAAAUACCUAUUAUAUGCAUUCAAGUCACAGUGAUGUGUCUGCAGCAUUUAGCUGUAUCUCAAGAAAAACUGCAGCAAGGAAGAGGUUUACAUUAUCUCUUAUGGACCUGGUGUCUUCUCGAGUGAUCUGCCUGGCUUCAUUACAUUUGUUUGUCUUUGCCUCUCCAACUGAGCAGUGGGAUCUGAUUUUCCUGAAUUUGGCUGAAGAGACAAAUUAAAGUCUUCUUUGUUUAUAAUCAAAGCAGGAGUGAUUAUUUGAACAUUUUGAAGGAAUCACAUAGUAUUUUAAGAGUCUGUAAAAAGACAAGAAAGGUGGUGGGAAGUCAUCAGAUGCUAUUUUCUUUAAAACUGCAUGGAUGGUUUUAACAAAGUCAACCCAUGACGUCUGUAGAGUUUCACCAAAUGGCCUGGGAACUGAUGGCAAAUUUGUGAAAACAUGCUGGAAAUGUUUUGUUGAUAUUCCUGCUGACAUUAGGGGCAGAUCCUGCAUGUCACCACAAAUAUUUGGCAGUGGAGAAAACCAGAGAUUUUGUUCAGCUCUGUUUGGAAUCAGAUAGCAAAUUGAUCUUGGAGACUCUCCCUGGAACUCUUCAUAUUUUUGGAAAACAAAAGAUUUUCAGAGGAAGCCCUGUUUUUAUUAUGCAUGAGAUUGUUAUGGGAGGAGAAAAGGGAGUCUGUGACUUACACAAAAGAAGAGGGGAAUUGGAGCUUUUGCUGGAAUUGAACAGAUUAUUCCUGGCCUUAGCUCUGUGUACUUUUCCCCAGGAACAUGGA
rnacentral:lncRNA from 1 species